UGUUGUUCUCGCACGCGCGCGCGCACGUACGCAUGUAACCGCCAAUUGCAAUAUUUGAAAAAAGAACCCGAUCAACCACUGUUUUGCUGUUCAGAAGUCCGUCUAUAAUUCAUCAUAAACUAAAGGAACACAGGUCAGAUUCGGACAACGACUUCAAAUUAAUUCGCAGAAUACGCUAAACAAUUGGACGACGGAUACACUGGAUGAUAAUGUAGAUGGUCCAGGAUUAUCUGGGAAGGAAACUACAGAACACAGAAAACCGUUUACAAGAAAACAACUGGAGUUUGUGAAAGCUGCAAGAAAUUAAUCUUGCCGGGUACGCAUUCACUUCACCUUGGUCGAGUGCAGCACAGUGGAUGAAUGUGUUGCUGAAGGAAAACACCAUUGCUAGGAUUCAAACCCACGACACUCUGUUGAAAGGUGAGAGUCAGAACCACUAGACCACGACGCACCCACAGUUAACAAGCUGAUGUCAUACUCCCACUUGUUCUUUUGUAUUUUAUAACAAGAAGUCAUGUUUAUUCACAUUUUGACUUCCAAGAACUAAAAAGUGGAGUGAAGAUUUAUUUAAUGUAAACACAUGCAUUGCUUGAAAUCAUUUUAUGCUACGUGGGACAUAUCAUACACACGCGUACGAAAAUAUGAAAUUAUUAUGAUUUCAUUUUAUAACAUAAGCCUAACACAUAUUCCUGACGAUCAUGUGCACAUUCCAGUAAUUUUUCCCAAAAUGUUGCUAAACCUUCGAAUCAAAGACUUUGUUAUCAGAUUUUAACGAAAUUGUCAACAUUAUGCUUUUCUGAUUAAUUCUCUUCCUACCUAAAUCUUCCCUUUCCUCAUGCUUUCUUUCUUUGGACCCUUCAUUCUCCUUAUAACUAUGUUAUAUGUAAAAUGUAACCGGUCGUCCAACCCAUUUGAUUGAAGGGCUAGGUACUCUAGACUGAAAGUUAUGUGAUUUAAAUUCAAAGAGUACAUCAGACAAAAAAAAAACACUGAAAAUUUCAUCAAAAUUGAAUGA